rnacentral:rRNA from 1 species
UACAGAGACUGCAAGCGUUAUUCGGAUUCACUGGGCGUAAAGGGUGCGCAGGCGGCCAAGUGUGUUAGGCGUGAAAGCCUGAGGCUUAACCUCAGAAUUGCACCUAAAACUACAUGGCUAGAGCAUUGGAGAGGGUAGCGGAAUUCACGGUGUAGCAGUGAAAUGCGUAGAUAUCGUGAGGAACACCAGAGGCGAAGGCGGCUACCUAGACAAUUGCUGACGCUCAGGCACGAAAGCGUGGGGAGCAAAAGGG